rnacentral:rRNA from 1 species
AGUUCAAGAGUACGUGAAACCGUUUAGGGGUAAACCUGAGAAACCCGAAAGGUCGAAGGGAGAAAUUCAUUCGCGUUUCGACGUAGGCGUCGGAAGGGGUCGAGCGACGGAACGCGCGCGACGCGUCUCUCUUCGGAGGGCGCGCGCGCUCGCGCGAUUUCGCGCCCCCUUUCCGCUUCGAACCGACGACGAACGCGUGCACUUUUCUCCUGGUAGGACGUCGCGAUCCGUCGGGCGUCGAUCUACGACUUGCGGUGGAGCCCGUUCGUCGCGUCUCGUACCGUACGAACGGACCCGCUCGUUCCGAUCGACUCGCUCGACGGUAUACCUUAAGGUCGGAGGCCGCUCGAAAAAAGGAGCGUUCGACUCGUCGCAAGCGCGCCACGUGCGUCGACUCGCGGACCCGGUGCCGCGUUCGACCUCUGGUGACUGUUGGCGACGAAGUUCUCGGACAGACCUCUUUCUCUCUCGUUUCGAAAAGAAAUUUUUGAGACGACGACGAGGAGACCGAUCUGCGACGCUAUAGCUUUGGGUACUUUCAGGACCCGUCUUGAAACACGGACCAAGGAGUCUAGCAUGUACGCGAGUCAUUGGGAAUCGACACUAAACCUAAAGGCGUAAUGAAAGUGAAGGUCUUCCUCGCGAAGACCGAGGGAAGACGGACGGUUUGCGUCGCGUUUUUUUCGAACGCGCGAUACGACCGCCCUAAAAAGUGGGACCGUUCCGCAUUCCCGGGGCGUCUCGUUCCCGUCGCGAGACGGGAAGAGGCGCACCAAGAGCGUACACGCUGGGACCCGAAAGAUGGUGAACUAUGCCUGGUCAGGACGAAGUCAGGGGAAACCCUGAUGGAGGUCCGUAGCGAUU